rnacentral:rRNA from 1 species
AUUGAACGCUGGCGGCAGGCCUAACACAUGCAAGUCGAGCGGAUGAAGGUAGCUUGCUACCUGAUUCAGCGGCGGACGGGUGAGUAAUGCCUAGGAAUCUGCCUGGUAGUGGGGGACAACGUUUCGAAAGGAACGCUAAUACCGCAUACGUCCUACGGGAGAAAGUGGGGGAUCUUCGGACCUCACGCUAUCAGAUGAGCCUAGGUACGAUUAGCUAGUUGGUGAGGUAAAGGCUCACCAAGGCGACGAUCGUUAACUGGUCUGAGAGGAUGAUCAGUAACACUGGAACUGGGACACGGGCCAGACUCCUACGGGAGGCAGCAGCGGGGAAUAUUGGACAAUGGGCGAAAGCCUGAUCCAGCCAUGCCGCGUGUGUGAAGAAGGUCUUCGGAUUGUAAAGCACUUUAAGUUGGGAGGAAGGGCAGUAAGUUAAUACCUUGCUGUUUUGACGUUACCGACAGAAUAAGCACCGGCUAACUUCGUGCCAGCAGCCGCAGUAAUAC